rnacentral:rRNA from 1 species
AGAGUUUGAUCCUGGCUCAGAUUGAACGCUGGCGGCAUGCUUUACACAUGCAAGUCGAACGGGGUGAGGGGGCAACUCCUCAUUCAGUGGCGAACGGGUGAGUAAUACAUCGGAACGUGCCCAGUAGUGGGGGAUAGCCCGGCGAAAGCCGGAUUAAUACCGCAUACGACCUACGGGUGAAAGCGGGGGACCGCAAGGCCUCGCGCUAUUGGAGCGGCCGAUGUCAGAUUAGGUUGUUGGUGGGGUAAAAGCCUACCAAGCCGACGAUCUGUAGCUGGUCUGAGAGGACGACCAGCCACACUGGGACUGAGACACGGCCCAGACUCCUACGGGAGGCAGCAGUGGGGAAUUUUGGACAAUGGGGGCAACCCUGAUCCAGCCAUGCCGCGUGCGGGAAGAAGGCCUUCGGGUUGUAAACCGCUUUUGUCAGGGAAGAAAUCCCUUGGGUUAAUACCCCGAGGGGAUGACGGUACCUGAAGAAUAAGCACCGGCUAACUACGUGCCAGCAGCCGCGGUAAUACGUAGGGUGCAAGCGUUAAUCGGAAUUACUGGGCGUAAAGCGUGCGCAGGCGGUUGUGCAAGACAGAUGUGAAAUCCCCGGGCUCAACCUGGGAACUGCAUUUGUGACUGCACAGCUUGAGUGCGGCAGAGGGGGAUGGAAUUCCGCGUGUAGCAGUGAAAUGCGUAGAUAUGCGGAGGAACACCGAUGGCGAAGGCAAUCCCCUGGGCCUGCACUGACGCUCAUGCACGAAAGCGUGGGGAGCAAACAGGAUUAGAUACCCUGGUAGUCCACGCCCUAAACGAUGUCAACUGGUUGUUGGGAAGGUUCCUUCUCAGUAACGUAGCUAACGCGUGAAGUUGACCGCCUGGGGAGUACGGCCGCAAGGUUGAAACUUAAAGGAAUUGACGG